rnacentral:lncRNA from 1 species
UCUUGCUAGGCCCCUGGUACCACAUGGGUUGGGCUUUCCUGGAGGUCUCCGGCCCCGGCCCCGCCCACGACCCUGCCUCCUUCCAGGCCCACCUCGGUGCAUGGGGUGGCAGGAGGCUGCAUGCUUAAGCUCCACCAGCUCCUGGAAGACGGGGUCACAGAAGAUGCAGCCUGUGUGCUGUGUCUCAUUGCCAGGAAGGGGAGACUUGGCCUUGUUGAAGUCUACAUCGAGCAAGGCAGCCUCGCAGGUGUUGCAGGUGUCAGCAGAUACCCGUACUCGGUGGGCAUUUUCAAAGCAGUGUGCCACCACAUUGCAUGUAUUGCAGGCCACCUUCCACUUGGGACCAGAAGUGGGGUCCAGAACAAGGACUCCAUUCUCGCAUUCCACGCACUGGCCAAUGCCCAGCAUACUCAGUGAGUGCUGGCAGGUGGGGUGUGUGCACUCAUUGCAGCCCAUGCCUGA